CUAUCAAAGCCGGGAUGUAUAACAAAUAGUGAACAAAGUCUCACGUAGGAACGUAUAAAAAAUAGUCUCGCUUAUGUAGCAGCAAAAGCAAAUAGCAUAAUUCUUAUUUUCUCACACACAAGUGGAGGGAAAUCAAAUGAAAGGCUGUGAAAUAGAUGACUGGUGAUAGAAACGUGAAUAAAUGGGACUUCAUCACACGAACAAGGCUUCGAGCUCUCGGAUCUGCAGUACUACUUCCAUGGCUCCAUACGAC
rnacentral:lncRNA from 1 species